UGACGCCUGCCUCCAUGAUGAACCGGU
rnacentral:piRNA from 1 species